GAAACAUUCUGCCUUAAAGCUGGGUAUCUGGAGCUGUAAUUUAACAUCUUUACUUAAUCUCUGAUGAAUGAGAUCUGGGUCACAGUCUUUAGAAGUGGUUUAAUGCAGCUGAUGUAACUGUAUCAGUGCGUGGUCUCGGUAAAAUGAAUCAUUUGUAGGAGCAGCAGCUUGUAUAAGCUGAGCAUAACUGGAUUGCAUUUGCUGUGGUUGUCUCCUUAAAAAUACACUAUUGUAGAAUUACCCUAGAUGGGAGCCAGCAGAGCCUGUCCUGACUCCAAGCAGUCUGUGCUGUUCUGUAAAGACAAAACACAGCUUGCGUUCUAUGGACUUCAGUCAAAAAAAUGUUGAAGCUUUAGAGGAGAUGAGCUUUUUUUUUUUUUUUUUUCCCCUUAAAGUUUUCCUUUAUGUUGCAAAUGUAUGUUUUAACUGCCCCUAAAAACAAACAAACAGAAAAACCCCUGACAGGGACAUGUCAGUAUAUUUUCCCGCUCUCACCUGUGAAGGAAGUUCCUCCCGCCCUACCCUGAUGAAUGGGAGGGAAAUGCUUUUUACAGCUGAUAAAAAGAAAUAAAAUUCCAUGCCCUUCCCAAAGGAGGAAUUCAACAAUUGGACGAGUGGCGUGGGACCAUGUGUUGGUUUGUAAAAGGAUAUCGUUUGUAAAGAUGUUUCCUUUGAAGCCUGUGAUGAAUAUGGAUGUGUUUCCGUUGGAGAAGGUUUUGAUUAAAUUCAGCAAUUAGAGCUGACCAGACAGAUCUAAAUAUAGGAAGAGGUUUCAGUUAUCCUGUCUUUGUGUGUAGUAACGCACCCACGCAGAUGUGUGUUUUGUUAUUGUUGUAAACAACACCUGUUUGCUGAAGACAGUUCAGAAAGUCAGGAAAGGGGAUGAUCCUUGUGGAAAAAGGGAGUUGCACUGGAGUUUUAUGAUGAAAGGGAAGGCACAUUUCCCACAGCCUUUUUUUUUUUUGACUUUUACUAGAGGAUUUCUGAUGUGCAUAGCCAGACUGGUUGUGGCAUCUUUAUGGCUGCCCUGUGUUCGCAAAGCCAUAGCCAGGGCUGACAGGCAGUGGUUGGAGCUGGUCUGCAGCCUGCUCUGCAUCUUCAGAGCUUGGUCUGUGUUGUUUACUAACUGAGCUCCUUGCUUUCUUCUGUUCUGCCUGCUCUGAGUGGCCAAUGGGACAACACCUGUGGAAGUAAUGUGGAUAACUUUGCCCCAGAAAUGCACCAGAUAAUGCUUACUGUGACAGCUGGUAAUUCAUUCCAUCUUCUGACAUCCUUUUUGAUAUAUAUUUUUUUUCUUCUGGAUGUUUGGCUUUAUUUGAACGUAUCUGUAAGUGUCCUUCUGUUUGCAGACAGUGUAAAAAGUGAACAGUCUUUCAUGAUAGCUUAUCAAAAAAUGACCCACACGAAUGCUAUCCUGUCAAGAUUUGUGGUUCACAGCACUGUAUUCAUUUCGUAAGUUCUUUCAGUGAAGUUCAUAGUUUUGUAAUCCCAUCUGUGUCAGAAUUCUAACGGAAUCAUCAAAUCACAGUUCCUUCCUGACUAAAGUUAAAAUAUUAACUUGCAGUUUUAGAGAUAAUCUCUGGUAACCCAUCUGACUCAGUGCGGCUGCUUGCCAGUACCAGAAGAUGUUUCUCCACGCCUGGGUCUAUGUUUCAGUGUGUUCUUUUUGUAUGAGCCCCCCUGUGUGCUGGGCUUAUCCUGUUCCCAGUUAUGAAGCAAAUUGAAUUUGGGUUGUUUUUUGGUUUUUACCUGUAGUCCUUGCAUGAUGAAUCAGUGCGGAGGGCAGACUGGUAGGUGUUAGAAAAAUGCCAGUUUAAUUGGAUUGUAACACAGUAUUUGGGCUUUACUGUAUACAGGAAUGAGGCAUUUUCUCUGGAGGAGCAACAAUGAAGUUUAUGAAGUCCUUCAAAUCUGGGAAGUGGUUCCUGUGGUUGGAGAACGUAGGAAAAGCCUUGGUUCAUGGUAGAAAGCAGCCAGAGUCCGUGUAUCUGAUCUGAGCUGUGAUGAUAACUAGCAAGGAGCUGGCAGAUAUUGAUGGCAUAUGGUUAUUACUUCAUGCUGUGGAAUAACUGAGUAGUGGAAAAUUCAUUGUUGGGGUUGCUGUCAUGUGCCCCCCCCCCCCCCCCCCCCCAUUACAUAAGGCAUCCAUUGCCUCACUGUCUCAUUUUGAGUGAGUGAUGGAGUGCUUUUUGGUGCUCUGGUGAUGUUCAGAACUCAUAAAUCUGAUCUUCCUAUUGAAUGUUAGAAGUUGUGGAAGUCCUUUGAUAAAGGGAAAUGUUAUUGAUAGCUGUAUCCUUCGAUAACUGGUAGGGAGUUCUUGCAAGUUGUGUGAACUGCUGCUGUGAUUAACUGUGCUCCAAUGCCACUGCUUUGCUCUGUUACAGUCUGCUGUGCUAUGGGGGCAGGUUGGUGCCUAGAAGGAUUUGCUCUCAGGGCUGAAUAAUGACACUUCGGUGACUUUCUUCAAAGGGCAACCUCUCAUUCAAAUAUGGUGAGCAGUUGUCUUCGUCCUCUUUCUCACACACGGUGCUUUGCUGUAGUCUCAGGAACCAAAACAGAGCCUGCUUUAUAGGGCAGGCUGGAAAUAUCCUCCCAGCCCUUGCUGGGUGUCUCCUACAAGUCAGGAAAAAAGCCUGUUGAAUAUUUUCAACACCAAUAUGCACUUCCUACUUGAACACUCGAUACGCACAUCAUGUGUCACAUGCUGAUUCAUGGCAGAAAUAAAUACAUGAUUGCAUUUUAAAGAGUUGGGGGUUUUUUUGUUUUGUUUUGUUUUUCCCCAAGAAGACAUGUAAAAGCAUAAACUUUUUCUUUCUUUUGUGCCUGCCCACCCCUGGCACUGAUUCUCCUUAUCCUUCUCAGAAAUGCAAGGAAAGCCAAAUCAGGCUCUGUUUAAACUCUCUAAUGAGUUUUACAGCAGUCUGAAAUGACUUUCUCUUUUUGCAUGGUACUGUGAUGCUACUGACGCUUCUGUAAGGUUUCCAUGCAUUUUUGCAAGAUGAACGGGGUCUGAUCUUGUACCAUACGAAGGUACAAAGAAGGAAUCCUUUGAUUAGCAAAGCUUCGCAUAACAAUGUCAUGUGAAGAAGAAAAUCCUAAACUUUUUGCUGCUUGCUCCAAGAAUAAGGAGCCAGGGGAAGUUGAUGCACAGCCUGGUGUAACACAUUCUAGCAUUACAGAUGCUUAGACUACAUGCUUUUUAGUAAUGUCUGAAAAGCAGAUUGUCACCCAGUGUGAUUGUCAAUAUCGUGUUGGCAAUAGUUGUGCGUUCAGGAGAGACAUUGCUUAUUUAUUCCAGGUUUGUAUCAGCCUGGGUGCUCAGUGGUUUCCCACCUAUCAAACACACCAAAUGGAAUGAUCCGUGCUAUAUUUAUACUCAAAAGUUGGAAUUAGUAAUUUUUUCAGUCCUCCUCAAUGAUAAUUAAUUCAUAAUUUACAUACAAUUACAAUAUUGCCGGCUCUAUGCUUCCAUUACUACGCCUGCUCAGGGGAGGGGUCUUCAUGAGGGCAGGGGUCUUCUUGACCUAUGAGUCUGAACUUUAGUUAUACAAUGAAGGUAGUGCAGCAAGGACCUUGAGUUUUAUCGCCUAGUUGGCAGCAUCCUCAAAGCAUCCCGAUUAACGUCCUCCUCAAGGCCCACUGGCUCUGGUUAAAGGAUACUAAGUGUUUAUUCUUCUGAUACCUAACACAAUGUUAGCUCAGUGUUUAUUCUGAUACCUCACACAGCGUUAGCUCAGUCUCUGGGGCUGGUCUUAAACAGUAAUACAUGGAAAUAGCUCUUGCAGGGGGGAAAGUGACAGCUUCUCUGGCUCCUGUGCCAAAAUCUGAUCUUUUUUCUUUUAAACUUUUUAAAAAUAGAUGUCAUGCUCAGAGAAAACCAGAGCUGCUGAGAAGUUGUCUUUCGGGGAAGGUAAAUGUUUAAGUAUUUUAAAGAAGCAAAUUAAAAUCUCUCUUCUUGUUAUUUAUGUUGUCAAUAAUUAAUGGACAUUGGGAGAAGGCACACUGAAUAACAUUGGAUUUUUAAAGUGUAGUAAGAAAACUAGACAGUUUUCUUCAUUAACAAUUAUGUAGAUUGUAUUUGCUGUGGUUCUUUGCCUCCUCUUCUGUCUAACUGUGCUGAGCACAUAUGAAAAAUACUUAAUGGGAUCCUUUCUGCCUGCAUCCCCGAGCUGUGAUACAAAUAAGGAAGUCAGUAGAGGAGUUAGAGCUGCUUGUUUGCCUGAAACUCGGGUUUGGAGUUGUUUCACCUCCUGCACAGCAGAGGAUCAUUAAAUUGUCCCAGCCCUCUCCACCCACCAAAAACAAUCACUUAUGCAAAGCCGGGCAGUUUCCUAUGGGAUCUCCUGUGGGAAUUUGAGAACAGUCUCGCUGAGUAUUUUACUGUCUGCUUUGUGUUGCUGGCAGGGUAAUUGUGAGCAUAGGAAAGCAGAGCUUUGCUUUUAGGCGUUUUGCCCAAGUAUGGCAGUUUAAACCCAGGGCUGGCUGAACAGCUCUGUGUAUAAUACCCAUUUUUGUCCCAGCCCCCUCGCAAGCUGUGUGUGGGUCUGUCUGUUUGUCAAUCCAAAGAUCACACAAAAGAUAGCGGCAGUGGAGGAAGAGGAAUAAAGCAGUGCUGAUAUUAAGAGUUUGUUGAUUCCAGCUCAUCCAUCAGCAGACAGAACACGUAAUAAAAAGUGCGUAGUUUUUGAUGUGUAAAGAGUGGCUGAUAAGUGGGUAACAACUUGAUUUCCUUUCAACUGAUUCCAGACUGCCUUUUGGUGUCCUGUUGUUUGGCUGAGCUCGUUGCACUGGUACCUUGUGAAUAAACAUAACCUUCAAGGGCUGGUGGUCACUCAGCUGUUGGAGUAGCAGCUCCUAUUUUCCCAGAAGGACGUGUGUAUCUGGGAGGACAGAUGCAGGCUGUCAUCUGUUGACUUGCGGUUUAAUCUUUAUUUUGCACUUCCAGCUGAUAAGACCACUUUGUGCAAAAGUAAUACAGUAAAUGAUGCAUUGCAAAAACCAAAAGUGGCGGAAAGGGAAACAGAAUGUACUGGCAAGAGCUCAGUGCUACGGGCAUGCUUCUGGCUUCUUGGAAAUGAAUAUCUCCACCUACGCGGCCUUUUUUUAGUUUGACACCACUAUUGGAAUUGAGCAUUCGAGUGGUAUACAGCAGCCUGAGGUUUUUUUGGUUUGUUUGUUCGCUUUCCCUUGCUUUUCUUUCUGGCUAAUUCAGGGCCUGGAUCUUCUCUGGGCAGUCUGAGCUUCAGCAGCAGUCCUGGGGUGAGAGGUUAGCAGCAGGUUGUAGAUGCGGCUCGCAGCUGCUAAGCUGCCUUGCUUUCAACUGUAUUUUCAAGUACUGUGCCUAAUGGGAUUCCCUGUGCUGCUCCCAGUGCAUUUCCUGCUGGUUGUUGCUCCAGAAUGCCAGCUGUUAACACUUCUGGUUGUGAUGUUGAAAUGUAUUUUGGAACGUGUGCUUAUGGGAGUGGGACAAGUGCAUGUUACAGGGUGUGAUCCAAGGAUGUCAGAAAACCUAUUUCUAUGGUGUGGCUGCUUGGGGUUACAUCUGAAUGUCUUUCUGGUCUUAGCAGGCCUUAUGUGCAAACACAUGCUAAGGCUGUACUUUCAGGCCCUAGUAAAAACGUGCCGUUUCAAUAGGCAGAAAACUUCUUUCCUACACAAGAAGCAGUCUGCCCAUCUAUUUUUAAAGCAGCUUGGUAGAAGUGGCUCAUGCCAUGGUAAUCAACGCAGACGCAGUUCUACAUAUGUAGACUGAGGCUUGGGUUGAGAUUUAGACUUUUAGACUUUUUAGACUCGUUUCUUUUUCACUAGAUUUUCCAUGCAAGUAUUCUAAAUAUGUAUUUUGGUUGUUGUUUUAAAUCUAAUAGGUGUGAAGUAGAAAGGUUGACCUGAUGACUUGAUAACAGUGGUGUACAUUUGUGCGUGGAACUUGUGUUUGCAAAAAGUAGAUAAAAGAUAUUCAGAAUAUUGAAUGAGAUACAAGCUAUGUGUGAAUUGAGGAUAACUCCAAUACUUGCGUGCAGAUUGGAAGCAAGUGGACUGGGGUCUCUGAUAAUAAAAUACUUGAACUAAAACAGCAUUCCAGUAGAGCACUUUUGAAUGUAUAUAAGGAUAAAAUAUACCUGGAGUGCAGUCAGUGACAGUAAUGGAGUUUUAGUUCAGUUAACAGUAUAGCUCAUGCUCAGGUAACAAAAUAUAUUGUUAAAUUUGCCCCAGGCUUAUAUAUAUCUUCCAUCACACUGACAUUAUUAUUUGAAGUAGAAGUCUCUGCAUAAAAGGAAUGGGAAAUAGCAGUACGAAGUGCAGGUAGAUGUGGUCUUUGUCUUAGUUCAAGAUCAUUAUUCAUAAAUGUAGUUUAUGCAUUUGACCUAAUAAAACGGAACCUUUGCAAUUAGAUAAUUAUUUUAGUGACAACUUAUUUGAAUCAAGCGGGUGGUUUUCAGUUUGAAGUACUCUUAGUGUAGAGGUAUGCAGUGAAAUUACGGUUAUGACAGGAGCGUAAGUGUGGCUUAGCAUUUACAGUUUCAAGAUCCAUAAUUAUUUUUUAUUGUAAACUUGCAAUUCAGGCUCAUGGCUGCUCUGAUACCUUCUAACCUGUUUGUGUAUGGGUAGUUGUAUGGGUUUUUCAUUUGGCUUUUUUUGUCUUUCUGAUGGUAACAAAAACAUUUCUAUCCUUUUCCUCUUCCCUCUUCCUCUGCAACCUGUUGGUAUCUGCUCUGGGAUACAUUUCCUGUCUGUCUUCAUGCUUCGUUUGAAUGUUGCUGUUUUAGUGCUCCUUAUCUCCUUGUCCCCCUGUUCCCUGUGGCAGAGCUGAGUCUCUUGCUUGCUCCUAACCUGGGUAAAUGUGAAGCCUGUUGCUCCCAGAAGACCCUGUAACGGGGACUUCUCUGCAUGCAGAGUUCUCCCACCUUCACCCAUCACUUCAUUGCUGUUUCAUGCCUCCCAACUUGAAGAUCACUGCACCACCUCCAACCCUCUUAUCAGUUCUUCCUCCUUCCCACUCCUUCGUGAGUCUUUGAGCACAUCAGGCUGGCACUGUGAAGGGAGGGGUCAGGAUGUAGUCAGUGAAGUUCACGAUGUCUUUCCCUUUCAUUCUGUUUAUGCAAGGGCUGUUUGGUGGGGUAGGAAGACAGAGCUUUGCUUUCUCAGGGGGAGCUGAAUGAGGGCACAGAUCCUUCUAGGUUCCUUUUCUGUUUUUGGUAUGCCACUCAAAGUAACUGAGGUGAAGCUGAGCAGUUUGUCUCCUGUUGUGAUACGCACAGCUCCCAUGCAGUAAUUUUCCAUUUGUAUUGCUUGCAGAGAGCUGGGUAGUGCAGUGCUGUUGAGGUAUAUUGCUUCCACCUUCACUUGGAAAUCAAAACCAAAAGCACUGCUCAUCCUGUAUGAGUUUAUUGGGACGUUUUGCUGUGUGAAGUUGCCAAGCUGAUAGGCUGUGGGGAGUGUACUUUUCACUUAGCAGUGAAAGAUGAAAUAUAGGGGACUGCUUUAGGCUGAAUUUGAUGGGAACUAUGUUCCUAAAAUGGAACCUUUGUCCUUCUGCCAAGUAUGUGAAGGAGAACAACCAUGUCUUUUUUACGUUUUUUUUUCUUUUUUCUGUCCACCUUCUCACAACACUUAAGCAAGGCUACACUUGGGCAGUGAGCAGAAGCAUUAUUUGAAGCUGACAAAUGCAGUUGCCCUUGCUAUGUGGCACAAAAAUCACUGAGGCUACAUUGCAAGUUGGAUGAGGGAGCUGAGCAGAGGGGCAGUCGUCCUUCUACCUUCUGAAUUUCCCCACCUUUGCACUUCCUUCCUGCUUCUCCAUAACUCCCUCCAACCUUUUUUUUUUUGUGGUUUUGCUUAUGCAGUGUCACUGUUUUUCAGGGCAAUCCCCUCAUUUAUUCAGGACUGUUUUGGUAGCAAGAGUAUAAAGGCUUCACCUGCAAGCUCUGCUAUUUAAAAGUCCUUGUCAGACUAUUCCCUCGGUCUGAUGCAUGAGACUGCAGAGGCUUGGUGGUUUUGUUUUGUUUUGUUGUUGUUCGGUUGGUCUUUGGUCGCGCUGACCUUGUGGGGUGGAACGUUUCUAACUGUUGGUGGCUAACUGAAGAAGUAAAAUCUCUUUUCCUUUUUCUCUGUUCUCCUGCAG
ensembl:lncRNA